rnacentral:lncRNA from 1 species
UCGACUCUCUCAGAGGCGGCAGAAAGGCCGAUUUCAAGGGAUGCGCGCGAGUCGUCUCCGAAGGACGCGGAGUCGUCCCCACGAGUAAAAAGCGGACUUUCCGAGACGUCCCCAGAGAGCGCCGAGUCGACUCUCUCAGGGGAUUCCAGAGGACGUGUUUUUCGGUGAUACAACUACGGAGUCGUCCCCGACGUCGCGGAGUCGUCCCCAUGCAAAAAGCGCAAAAAUCCCGAGACGUCCCCGUAAAGUACCGAGCCGACUCUCUCAGAAAAACAGAAGAACAAGCAUUCAAGCCGUUCUUCUUCAGAGUCGUCCCCGUAAAAGUGCCCGAGUCGACUCCAAACAACNNNNNNNNNNNNNNNNNNNNNNNNAGACGUCUCGUGUCGAAGCGGAGACGUCUCGUGUCGAAGCGGAGACGUCUCCGGAGCGCCUGGAACGCGACUGACACACUUUUUCAGGUAAAUUUGAAUUUCAAACGGUCAUAUUUUUGUGUCUAACGGAUCUAUUGCUUUUUGGGCUAUAAAAGGGAGCUUUUAAGUGCCUUCCAACAACUUCUCACCAAUCCAACACAAGAUCAUUCAAGAGAGAAGAAAGAAAAAGAGGUUCAAGGGAGUUAGAGCUUUCAAGAGGAGAAAUCAAGUGCAUUCAAGCUUUCCCAUCUGAUUUCGUGCUCAACUACUCACUCCCACUUGGCAUUCAAAGCUCACAUUCAAGCCAACGCGAUCC